rfam:Gossypium raimondii Chr06_contig_237, whole genome shotgun sequence.
GCUUUGCUGUGAUGAAUUAUGAAAUAAAUUCACAUGUCAGACUUCAGAGAUUUGUUUAAAAAUCUAUGAGAAGAAAAGUCAUGUCUUCUGAGCAGAUA